CUCCAAAGGCCCAACAAAAUUACAAAAAGACCAGAUUGGUCUGGGCCAGAAUUCAAUCCACUCUAUGAUUUGCAAGCACAAUGCUGCCGACCCAACCCCCAACAAAGGCCUACGGCGAAAAUGAUCGUUGACGUCUUGUCCCUCAUGUACAACCAGGAGUAAAAAGCAAUUGCUCUGUGGAGCUCGUCCGGGAACUUUCCCGUCGAAUUUUAUUUUUUUCUUUUCGUUUUUGUAAAUUGUUUUGUUCAAAUAAUAAAAUACAGUGAUAAUAAUCAUGCCAGUCAAAGAAUCUUGGACCAA
rnacentral:ribozyme from 1 species